UAGGGAAUCUUCGGCAAUGGACGGAAGUCUGACCGAGCAACGCCGCGUGAGUGAAGAAGGUUUUCGGAUCGUAAAGCUCUGUUGUAAGAGAAGAACGAGUGUGAGAGUGGAAAGUUCACACUGUGACGGUAUCUUACCAGAAAGGGACGGCUAACUACGUGCCAGCAGCCGCGGUAAUACGUAGGUCCCGAGCGUUGUCCGGAUUUAUUGGGCGUAAAGCGAGCGCAGGCGGUUAGAUAAGUCUGAAGUUAAAGGCUGUGGCUUAACCAUAGUACGCUUUGGAAACUGUUUAACUUGAGUGCAAGAGGGGAGAGUGGAAUUCCAUGUGUAGCGGUGAAAUGCGUAGAUAUAUGGAGGAACACCGGUGGCGAAAGCGGCUCUCUGGCUUGUAACUGACGCUGAGGCUCGAAAGCGUGGGGAGCAAACAGGAUUAGAUACCCUGGUAGUCCACGCCGUAAACGAUGAGUGCUAGGUGUUAGACCCUUUCCGGGGUUUAGUGNCGUAGCUAACGCAUUAAGCACUCCGCCUGGGGAGUACGACCGCAAGGNUG
rnacentral:rRNA from 1 species